rnacentral:rRNA from 1 species
UGAAUACGAGAUGCUACGGCGUCGAAGCAGUCUAUGUCAUACUUCCAAGAAAAGCUCGCACUGUCAUAAACAAAUAAUGCCUGUACCAUAACCGACACAGGUGGGUAGGUAGAGUAUACUAAGGGGCGCGAGAUAACUCUCUCUAAGGAACUCGGCAAAAUGACUCCGUAACUUCGGGAGAAGGAGUGCCUUAUUUAUAAGGUUGCAAUAACAAGAUCCAAGCAACUGUUUAUCAAAAACACAGGUCUCCGCUAAGUCGUAAGACGAUGUAUGGGGGCUGACGCCUGCCCAGUGCCAGAAGGUUAAAGAAGUUGGUUAGCAUUCGCGAAGCUGAUAACUGAAGCCCUGGUGAACGGCGGCCGUAACUAUAACGGUCCUAAGGUAGCGAAAUUCCUUGUCGGGUAAGUUCCGACCCGCACGAAAGGCGUAAUGAUUUGGAUACUGUCUCGGAGAGGGGCUCGGUGAAAUAGACUUGUCUGUGAAGAUGCGGACUACCUGCACCAGGACAGAAAGACCCUAUGAAGCUUUACUGUAACUUGAGAUCGAAAUUGGACUUUACUUGCGCAGUAUAGGUGGGAGGCGUUGAUAAUAUUCUUGCGGGAUUAUUUGAGCCAUCAGUGAGAUACCACUCUUGUAAUGUUAGAUUUCUAACUUUGUAUCAUUAUCUGGUCAAAGGACAGUUUCAGGCGGGCAGUUUGACUGGGGCGGUCGCCUCCUAAACGGUAACGGAGGCGCACAAAGGUUUCCUCUGAACGGGUAGAAAUCGUAUCUAGAGUGUAAAGGCAUAAGGAAGCUUGACUGUGAGACCUACAAGUCGAGCAGGGACGAAAGUCGGUCUUAGUGAUCUGACGGUGCUGAGUGGAAAGGCCGUCACUCAACGGAUAAGAGUUACUCUAGGGAUAACAGGCUGAUCUCCCCCAAGAGUUCACAUCGACGGGGAGGUUUGGCACCUCGAUGUCGGCUCAUCGCAUCCUGGCGCGGUAGUACGUCCCAAGGGUUGGGCUGUUCGCCCAUGAAAGCGGUACGCGAGCUGGGUUCAGAACGUCGUGAGACAGUUCGGUCCAUAUCCGGUGUAGGCGUUAGAAUAUUGAGAGGAGCCUUCUUUAGUACGAGAGGACCGAGAAGGACAUACCUCUGGUGUACCAGUUAUCGUGCCAACGGUAAACGCUGGGUAGCUAUGUAUGGAGUGGAUAACCGCUGAAAGCAUCUAAGUGGGAAGCCCACCUCAAGAUAAG